AGAGUUUGAUCCUGGCUCAGAUUGAACGCUGGCGGCAUGCUUUACACAUGCAAGUCGAACGGCAGCACGGGGGGUAACUCCUGGUGGCGAGUGGCGAACGGGUGAGUAAUAUAUCGGAACGUGUCCUGUAGCGGGGGAUAACCUAUCGAAAGAUGGACUAAUACCGCAUACGCUCUACGGAGGAAAGCGGGGGUUUUCGGGCAACUGAGGACCUCGCACUAUAGGAGCGGCCGAUAUCGGAUUAGCUAGUUGGCGGGGUAAAAGCCCACCAAGGCGACGAUCCGUAGCUGGUCUGAGAGGAUGAUCAGCCACACUGGAACUGAGACACGGUCCAGACUCCUACGGGAGGCAGCAGUGGGGAAUUUUGGACAAUGGGCGCAAGCCUGAUCCAGCAAUGCCGCGUGAGUGAAGAAGGCCUUCGGGUUGUAAAGCUCUUUCGGCAGGAACGAAAUGGUUCGUGCUAAUACCACGGACUGAUGACGGUACCUGAAGAAGAAGCACCGGCUAACUACGUGCCAGCAGCCGCGGUAAUACGUAGGGUGCAGGCGUUAAUCGGAAUUACUGGGCGUAAAGCGUGCGCAGGCGGUUUCUUAAGUCAGAUGUGAAAGCCCCGGGCUUAACCUGGGAACAGCGUUUGAAACUGGGAGACUUGAGUGUGGCAGAGGGGGGUGGAAUUCCACGUGUAGCAGUGAAAUGCGUAGAUAUGUGGAGGAACACCGAUGGCGAAGGCAGCCCCCUGGGUUA
rnacentral:rRNA from 1 species